CUAUUUUAUGUUUUAGGGAAAUUUUGAUGUGUUUAUGAAGUGUGCAGGACCAGAAGUGUUGUAAACAGGAAAAUUGGGAGCAUUUAAACUACUGGAAAGUUGCGACGGUACACUUUAUGGACCGCCAAACUACUGACGAACCGCCAUACUCAACCAUCAAAACUAAGAAGGAAAAUAUAUUCACUGGAUAGGGCAUGACAGCAUGAGUGGAGGACCAUCAAGUAUAUGGUGGACCGUCAAAGUAGUCGUUAGAAGAGAGACUACUGACCUGCAUUCUGGUAAGUAGUGACGGCUAAUUCGGUGGACCAUCACGACUAUGGUUGGCUGUCCCAUUAACCGUCAUACCAAAAAUAGAAACUCAUUGACUCAGCUAAGGGGUAACGUUCCCAGUGGUGGUCCGUCACACUUGUGACGGACCGUCAAUUCGACCGUCACUUUAACCCUAAUUCUGAAUCGGGUUGGGUUAAAUCAGUACUCUUUAUAAGUACUCCGUAUUUGACGUGGAAUAAGAUUUUAAGAGUAAAAUUGAGCAGGUACACUCAUUGUAACUGUUCCAUGACCUUUGAUUUUUCCACUUCUCCAAGAUUCAAAGAACCUGAACUAAGCUAUCCUAUUUGAGACUCCUCCACUCCUCCAUCACUUUUCUACUUAAGUUAGGUCAUUCUUUCCCUAUCCCCAUCACAAACUAAAGAGAAACAGAAGUGACAAAAGUUGCAAGUAGUUCACUCACUGAAGUCUCAAGCAAGUAGAAUACUACAAUAUCAAAGUAUGAGCAUUUACUUCUUUCCUCUUGUUCAUUUGAAAAGUAAGGGCAUGGAUUGUUUCAUGAUUUGCUAUAAUGGUGUUGAGUUGGAAUGGUUUAUGCUUAAGUGUUAUUUAGUAGAUGAAUUAUUUAUUAAAAUAUGGUUUUAAUGCUAUUGCUCAAGCUAAAAAUUGAUUUGAUCUUAAGCUGCGCUGAAAAUCAGUCGAACCCAUAAAUGUGCCUAAGGAUGAAGGUCUAACCGUUAACAUGGUGGACCGUCAACUUUGUGAUGGACCACCAAGUUGACUGUCCCCAAGGUCAAACACAAUGAGCUUCUGGAUUGUAUUUGACGGUCAUACUGGUGGACCAUCAAGUUUUCGAUGGACCACCAAGUUGACGGUCCCAAAAGUCAAAAAAUGAAACAUACUGGAUAAAGCUAACGGUGGAUCUGACGGAUCGUCCCACCACUGAUGGACCAUCAAAUCUCUCGUCAGGCGUCACUGUGAACUAUUUUUCCCUUUGUUUUACCUUGCACUGAUUUCUUAAUCCAUUUUCAGGUGACAUGGCUCCUAAAAAUACACAAACCAAGGGAGGAAAAUCUCAGCGAGGUAGAAACACAUCCUCACCAGCCUAAUCAUUAACUAUGUCUAGCCCAUUGUGAGGUAGUAACUAUGACUCUCUUAAGGUAUCCAAAUACCUCGUCAUCUAAUCAUUUAUGAGUUUGUAUGGAUUAACGAGAUUCUCACUAUUCCUGUCUACUAUCCAGCGAAAGUACAGCCAAGGGAACGAGAUUGGUAGAAUUAGCGGGGAAAGAAGACCCUGUUGAGCUUGACUGUAGUUCGACUUUGUGAAAUGACUUGAGAGGUGUAGUAUAAGGGGGAUACGAAAGGGAAAAGUGAAAUACCACUACUUAUAAUGUUAUUUUACUUAUUUUGUGAAUCAAAAGUGAGGCACUACCCCUCUUUUUUAACCCAAGGCUCGCUCUGCAUGCUAAUCCAGGAAGAAGAUAUUGUUAGGCAGGGAGUUUGGCUGAGGUGGCAUAUCUGCUAAAAGAUAAUACAGGUGUCCUAAGAUAAGCUCAACAAGAACAAAAAUAUCUUGUGGAACAGAAGGUUAAAAGCUCGUUUGAUUCUGAUUUACAGUACGAAUAUGAACCAUGAAAGUGUGGCCAAAUGAUCCUUUACACCUUCAUAAUUCGAAGCUUGAAGUGUCAAAAAUGUUACUAUAGGGAUAACUGGAUUUUUGAAGCCAAGCGUUCAUAGCGACGUUGCUUUUUGUUCCUUUGAUGUCGGCUCUUCCUUUCAUUGUGAAUCAGAAUUCACCAAGUGUUGGAUUGUUCACCCACCAAUAAGGAACGUGAGCUGGGUUUAGAUCAUCGUGAGAUAGAUUAGGUUUACCCUAUUAAUGAAAGUCUCUUAAUAUUAAUUCAACCUAGUAUGAUAGGAACCGUUGAUUCGCAUAAUUAGUCAACGCGCUUAGUUAAAAUGCAAGUGGCGCAAAAAUACCGUGUGCUGGAUUAUGACUGAAUGCCUCUAUUUAAGAAUCCAGGCUAGAAGCAACACAUGCGCCCUUCGUCCAUUUGUCGACAUGCAGUAGGGGCCUCGGCGCCUAAUGGUAUGUGUCGUUGGAUAAGCCAUUGUGGUGAAAAGUUCGCGGUGGCCGCCUUUAAGUACAAUUUUCAUCGAGUGGCAAGUAGAAUCCUUUGCAGAUGACUUAAAUACCCGACCGGGUAUUGUAAGUAGCUGAGUGGCCUUGCUUUCAUAAUCUACAGAGAUUUCGCCCU
rnacentral:rRNA from 1 species